GACGAACGCUGGCGGCGUGCUUAACACAUGCAAGUCGAGCGGAAAGGCCCUUCGGGGUACUCGAGCGGCGAACGGGUGAGUAACACGUGAGUAACCUGCCCCAGACUUUGGGAUAACCAUCGGAAACGGGGGCUAAUACCGGAUACGACACAGCUUCGCACGGGGUCUGUGUGGAAAGUUUUUCGGUUUGGGAUGGGCUCGCGGCCUAUCAGCUUGUUGGUGGGGUGAUGGCCUACCAAGGCGACGACGGGUAGCCGGCCUGAGAGGGCGACCGGCCACACUGGGACUGAGACACGGCCCAGACUCCUACGGGAGGCAGCAGUGGGGAAUAUUGCACAAUGGGCGGAAGCCUGAUGCAGCGACGCCGCGUGAGGGAUGACGGCCUUCGGGUUGUAAACCUCUUUCAGCAGGGACGAAGCGUAAGUGACGGUACCUGCAGAAGAAGCGCCGGCCAACUACGUG
rnacentral:rRNA from 1 species